GCCAUGGCGACGGGGCGGGGCACCUGCCCUUGCCCUCGGCCUCGCGGAGGGGCGCCCUCGGCGCCAAGGAGGGGUGAACCGCCCCAGCAGGGUGAGGUAGGGGCGAGCGGCGCGGAGCCUGGGCGGCCGAGAGGCAGCUGCCUUCCACUCGGGGCGUUGGCCCGACCCUCCGCGGGCUCACCUGCCUCUGUCGACCCCGAUCAGCUCACCCCCCGCCUCUGCCUGCGGUUUCCUCGCGAGGAGCACCUUCUAGGUACUGGGCCCUGUGCGUCGGCUCUUUCUAAGUUUUACAACUUGCAAGAGUGAUGAGCAUUUGGUAGACUUGAAAUCGGAAGCUCACGGAGCUCCAGUGAUCUGCCCCCAAGACCACGCAGUUGGUAGAAGGGAACAGGCCGCGAUGUGAAUCCAGGAACAUUCAUGGACUGGGGAUGCUGUUGACUGAUCCCUGAAGAGAAUUCAGCCUCGUAUGGAUAUGUCAGCUUGAAGGGCUAGGAAUUGGAAAGGUCUAUGUGCUACGCACAUGAGGUGUAUGUGUCAGGGAGCUGCUGUGCUUAGAACUCAGCCACCACGUUGUGAGGAAACCAAUGUAGCCACAUGGACAGGUCAUGGAAGGCAUUCCAACAAUCCUCGCCAAAAACCAUGCUAAGGUCUCAGCCAACAGCUAACAUCAACAACCAGACAUCCUUCGUGCUGCUCUACUACAGGGAAUAAAGGAAAGAGUCUUAAGUACACUUGAGUCUGACUUGUGGAAGAGCAGAAGUGGCCCUGGAGACAAAGAUGGCAACAGUGAUGGUGACAAGACUCCAAGGGAAAGGGAGUUGGCAUGAUGCCGCAGAAAGAGCAGAGCAUGCUCUUUGAAGGUGGCAAACGAGUUUACAUCCAUGCUGGGAAAGGUUUCUGCACAUGGGCAAUUUACUUCUGCUCCCUGAGCCUCCAAUUCCUCAGCUCUGCGAAGAGGAUAAGAGUGCCUGCCUUCGAGAGUUACAGUGAGGAUGAAAUAUGAUCGCUUAGGUGAAAGCACCUCCUAUAACAUCUGGAACACAGCAGACAUCGAAGAAGACAUUCAUUCCCUUCCUCCCCUACCCCCACUCCUCUGUCUCUGAGAGCAGCUUUCCCCACAACCCCCGGCCCCCCAAGGGUCCUUCGUGCUGGCCCCGCACCUCUCGUGAGCCUCCAUGCCUUCAUAAAAGUUGACCUCUCCCAGGCCUUGUCUCUGCUAUUGGGUAACAAUUGACUUACGAUGAUUA